ACGGAUGUGAAGGGAAGGCAUACUCAAGAAAUCACAUGCUUGGUCUGCUGAUGCUAACGGGAGGACUUGGCUGGCUCUCGGACAGUGAAUUUUGUGGUUUCACAUGUUUCCACCACACACUACAGCAAAACUGAUCGUGUUCCUUGAGGGACACUAACCCAGCUAUGCCAAUCCUACCUGUGGCUCAGUUGAUUGUUACAGCUCUCCACUGAAGGGGCAAAGCAAAAUAAAAGCUUUUCAGACACUUGUCAAGGAACA